AAACGUAAAAAAAUAUUAAUUUUUUUUGGAUUAAAUUUCAUGCGCUCAAAUAUUAAACUACUUCAUAUAAGUUGAAACUAAGUAAAUGCCAAUUCAUACAUCACACACGUAUAAUUCUCUUCUCCCGUUAUUCAUGCACGCAUAUACUAUUCAACUAUAUACUUUCUCCCACCCUAACCUUUCAAAAUCUUGUUUUUUUUCAGUCCUCCAUCCUUUUCUCCUACUUUACUCUUGUUUUCCCCUUUUCAAAUUUAAUUUUCGUUUCAAUAAUACGAACUUUUCCAUAAAUGCUGGCAAAUAUAAUUUAAUUUGCCUCGUAACGUUAAGAGUGUUGGAGAAUGAUGACAAACAUAUAUAUGUCUGCAGCAUGUCAUGUAAAUCUCGUUUACAUAGCAGUUUUGUGGGUGAAAACAAGCAAGUCAUCAGUGUAAAAACUCAAGUGGUCAAAAGAACAGAAAUUGAAUCUGCAAUGCACAUGCCGGAUAAAGCAAUGUUUCGUCAUGACAACAAAUGAGAGAUAUUGAGAGACUUGAUGGUAUGACGGAAUUAUUAGAGUCUCAUAAUAGUUCCAAGUUCCAACUGCUCUACCACUCAUGAGCUAGCUACUGAUGAGGAACAACAAGAGAUUUGAUUUUAUAGAAUUGAAUUUCCGUCCUAAUCUAUGAUCGAUAAAUGAGCUUGAAGCUUCCUUCAUAACUCUCGAAACUUUCUUCAUAGUGGUCGAAUUCCUUACGUGCCUAGUUCAUCUCUGAGUGAACCUCGAACUGGUUCUAUUUCAUCAUUAAGAGCAUAAUAUGUUGUCUCUUUUUACUUCUUGAGUUAAACACAAUAGCAAUAUAUAUUCUUAAAUUGAAACACAAAAUCAAAUGAGUAAAAAGGAAAGGAAAAAUAUUAGUCUUGCACGAUGAUUAGCAUCAUUAGAUCAACUAAUUAAGACGUCGAUCUCUUUAUAAUAAUGUGUAAGGACCAAAUAUACAAACUGUACUUAUAAAUGCUUUUUGACUCACACAGUUUGUGUUAAUAAUUUGAUAUAUAUGAUCAUUAUUGCUUGCUGCAUCAAACAAAAACCUAUAAAUUCAAAGAAAGGUGGAAGAAAAAAAGAUCUACUUAUCUUAUACAAUUCAAUUUUUUACACAUGUGUUCAGAUGAUGGAGCUGCAGCCUGCAAGCAAAGUCAGUUCUGUCCCACUGGUAUAAUCAUAAUGAGAAAAAAUGUAGUUCCCUCCGUUCCUCAAUACCGUUUGAUUUGACAAUAAAGAAAUCUAAAAAAACUUUUAAAAUUUGUAAUUUAAACUAAUUUUUGAAAAUUUACUUGGUGAUAAGUUACGUAUUUCAGUAAUAAUAAAAGAAAUAUAAAUUUGAGUUAUCUCUCUAAUUAUAAUAUAAAAUAACAUUGUUCAAUAGACUAAAAAAUUAAUGUCACAUGAAUUAAAACGACGCGAAUAAUUAAAGUUGUUUCUCCGAUAACUUUGAUGAGAAUGCCCAUUUUUUUACCUCUUCUCCGAGCUUCACCUCUUUUGCUUUCUUAGUGAUUCGAACUCACGAUUUUGAAGUUGGAGGAUGCUUAUCAUCCUAGCAACUACCUCUUCUCGUUGAGGGUGCUAAUAAAUUUCUCUAUUAAAUGAGUAUUUUAUUUUUAUAACCAAUCCACUCUCAUCUUGUGACCCCCCCAAAAAAAAUAUUAAAGCAUUAAAGAAUCAGAAUUGCCACAAAUCUAGGCAUUUGCUGGCCUAUUCUUACAUAAUGUCCUUCUCCCUUAGCCUUUUUUGGCCAGCAAAAGAUUGUGCAAUCAACUCUUGUAAUACUAAUCAAAGUAUAUGUUAACUAAUUUAAUAAACAAAUUGAUGGGAUUAAUAAUGUCAUCUAGUGGAAUGAGUUCAUCUAAGCAAUUAAUUCUAUUGGAUCGUCGGUGUUGCUGAUUAACAUUUAGCUAUCAAUAUUACGUGUACUAAAUAUUUUUCUUUUCUGUCGAGCAAUUUAUGGCAUUAUUAGAGAUGAAAAAAAUUAUUUGAAUUAUUUGGAGAAUAUGCUCCUUGAGAGGCACGAGGAAUAUAAAGCAAAAGUCAUGGGGGAUGAGCUGCAAUGACUAUGAUGCUGAACCAACCAUGAGCUCAUGUUUGUAACCACCCUUUCUAUGUUCAAAUUUCAAACAAUUUGAUAAGUUCACAAGGCACGUAUACUAAGGAAUGUCAGCAAUAUAAAAAGUAUACAGACGUAGAAACAAUUAGGAGAGUCAACAUAUAGUAUGUGUACAUACAAAUAAAAUUUGAAUCUAGCUAAAUAAUAUUUUCCGAUGAAGGAGUGUCAUUUGACACCCCUUAGCCUAAGCUAGCUUCCCC